GCUGCUCCUCGCUCUCUUUCCCUGCGCGACACGUGGAUGUUCGCACGUCUUCUGACGCAUAAGCGAUCUUAACGCGAUUAAAACAUGUGCAUAGCGAAUUAUACGCGAGGAGCCGAUCGCAGCGCCUCCAGACCACCACCGUGAUGAAUGCUGGAUAUAAUGCGACUAGAUCGUGAUUAUCUGCUGGAUGGUUUACUGUGUGAUCAUUACGCGCAGUUCACAGAAAUGGUGAGCUUCUGCUUCUGAACGCUGCUUCAGCACUGAUCAGAUCGAGCGGAAACCACCAUGAAGUCUCCUGAUUCACCUGGAUGGAGAGCUAAAUGCUCCACAGUGACUGAUGAAUGCUGGAGAUUGACGUCAAAUCAUAAAGUGUCUUUUUACAAUGUUUAUUAAAUAAAACGUAUCAAAAUGA